rnacentral:ncRNA from 1 species
UCUAUCAAAAGUAGCGAAAUACCUCGUCACUUAAUUAGUGACCUGCAUGAACGGAGCUAUGAGGUUCUCACUGUCCCAAACUGUCUCUCAGCGAACCAACUGUAGUGGAACGGUCACUAGAUAUCCAGCGGGGAAAGAAGACCCUGUAGAGCUUCACUUUGGUCUAGUCUUGUAUAGUUCCUGCGGGGGUGUAGACUAGGUGGGAGAGCAAUCGAUUCUGAAAAACCACUACCCUGUUUGGAAUUAUGCUUACCUAUCACAAGGAAUAGGACUAGAUAGAAAGUUUGGCUGGGGCGGCACACCUUCGAAAGAGCAGCGAAGGUGUCCUAAGUUGAGCUCAGUGAGGACAGAAAUCUCACGUUGAGGAUAAGGCCAAAAGCUCAAUUUACUGUGCCUUUUUGUACUAGGAUCAGUUACGAAAGUAAGGCCUAACGAUCCCUAAAUAGCCUCAGGUGCGUGAGGAUUGGGGUGACAGACAAGUUACCUCCGGGACAACUGGCUUGUGGCUGCUAAGAGAUCAAAUCAACGCAGCUUUUUGAUUCUUCGAUGUCGGCUCUUCCUAUCCUAGUGAUGUACAAGUUGCUAAGGGUCGGAUUGUUCACCCGUAUUAGGGAUCGUGAGCUGGGUUUAGACCGUCGUGAGCCAGGUUUGUUUUAUCCUACUGGAUAUAGCAUCAUGAUAGUAGAUUGAUUUAGUACGAGAGGAACUGUUGAUUAUGGCCUCUGGUUAGCGAUUAUCGGAAACGGUAUGUCGCGCAGCUACGCCGUCUGGGAUAAUGGCUGAAAGCCUCUUAAGCCAGAAGCCCAUCUAGAAAGUGAUGCACGUGAUGUUGGACCGAUACGAAUAAUCAUACUCAAAAGGUCCGCUUCAUAGGUAACCCAAUGUAGAAGACAUUGUGUGAACGAAGGUACUGUAAGCAGUGGAGUGGCAUUACGUCCACGACCUGUUGAGGUUCAGCUUCGCUUCUAGGUUUCC